AUUGAACGCUGGCGGCAUGCCUUACACAUGCAAGUCGAACGGCAGCACGGGAGCAAUCCUGGUGGCGAGUGGCGAACGGGUGAGUAAUAUAUCGGAACGUGCCCAGUCGUGGGGGAUAACGCAGCGAAAGCUGUGCUAAUACCGCAUACGAUCUAUGGAUGAAAGCGGGGGAUCGCAAGACCUCGCGCGAUUGGAGCGGCCGAUAUCAGAUUAGGUAGUUGGUGGGGUAAAGGCCCACCAAGCCGACGAUCUGUAGCUGGUCUGAGAGGACGACCAGCCACACUGGAACUGAGACACGGUCCAGACUCCUACGGGAGGCAGCAGUGGGGAAUUUUGGACAAUGGGCGCAAGCCUGAUCCAGCAAUGCCGCGUGCAGGAUGAAGGCCUUCGGGUUGUAAACUGCUUUUGUACGGAACGAAACGGUCUGCUCUAAUACAGUGGGCUAAUGACGGUACCGUAAGAAUAAGCACCGGCUAACUACGUG
rnacentral:rRNA from 1 species